rnacentral:rRNA from 1 species
UACGUAGGGUGCAAGCGUUGUCCGGAAUUAUUGGGCGUAAAGAGCGUGUAGGCGGCUCGAUUAGUCCGCUGUGAAAGUCCAGGGCUCAACCCCUGGAAUGCCGGUGGAUACUGUCGAGCUAGAGUCCGGAAGGGGCGAGUGGAAUUCCUGGUGUAGCGGUGAAAUGCGCAGAUAUCAGGAAGAACACCCGUGGCGAAGGCGGCUCUCUGGGACGGUACUGACGCUGAGACGCGAAAGCGUGGGGAGCGAACAGG